GAUGAACGCUGGCGGCGUGCCUAAUACAUGCAAGUCGAGCGAACGGACGAGAAGCUUGCUUUUCUGAUGUUAGCGGCGGACGGGUGAGUAACACGUGGAUAACCUACCUAUAAGACUGGGAUAACUUCGGGAAACCGGAGCUAAUACCGGAUAAUAUUUUGAACCGCAUGGUUCAUAAGUGAAAGACGGUCUUGCUGUCACUUAUAGAUGGAUCCGCGCUGCAUUAGCUAGUUGGUAAGGUAACGGCUUACCAAGGCAACGAUGCAUAGCCGACCUGAGAGGGUGAUCGGCAACACUGGAACUGAGACACGGUCCAGACUCCUACGGGAGGCAGCAGUAGGGAAUCUUCCGCAAUGGGCGAAAGCCUGACGGAGCAACGCCGCGUGAGUGAUGAAGGUCUUCGGAUCGUAAAACUCUGUUAUUAGGGAAGAACAUAUGUGUAAGUAACUGUGCACAUCUUGACGGUACCUAAUCAGAAAGCCACGGCUAACUACGUG
rnacentral:rRNA from 1 species